rnacentral:rRNA from 1 species
AGCUCCAAAAGCGUAUAUUAACGCUGUUGCUGUUAAAGGGUUCGUAGUUGAACUGAGGGCCGCCAAGAGGACCAUCCAGUCCCAUCCACUUCGGAUCGGUGACCAUGGCACUUGCGGCUCGUGAACAUCAGAAACAAAAAACACGGGAGCGGAUAUCCUUCCCGAUUCUCGCAUGCCAUGCAUGCCGGGGGGCGCCCGUGAUUUUUACUGUGACUAAAGAAGUGUGACCAAAGCAGUCAUUCGACAUGAAUUAGAAAGCAUGGGAUAACAAAGGAGCAACCUACCGGACUACCGUUUUGGCUUUUGUUGGUUUUAAAAGUUUGUGGGAGAUUAUGGGUCCGUGUGACAAGCGGUCGGGGGCCUUCGGGCACCCCACGCAUUCGUCGUCCUGUGGCUUCGGUUGCAGGCGGCGGCUCGCGGCGCCCAGGAAUGAAGGAGGGUUGUUCGGGGGAGAACGUACUUGAGCGUGAGAGGUGAAAUUCUUAGACCGCUCAAAGACGAACUACAGCGAAGGCAUUCUCCAAGGAUACCUUCC